UGGGGAAUUUUGGACAAUGGGCGAAAGCCUGAUCCAGCAAUGCCGCGUGUGUGAAGAAGGCCUUCGGGUUGUAAAGCACUUUUGUCCGGAAAGAAAUCCUUGGCUCUAAUACAGUCGGGGGAUGACGGUACCGGAAGAAUAAGCACCGGCUAACUACGUGCCAGCAGCCGCGGUAAUACGUAGGGUGCAAGCGUUAAUCGGAAUUACUGGGCGUAAAGCGUGCGCAGGCGGUUUGCUAAGACCGAUGUGAAAUCCCCGGGCUCAACCUGGGAACUGCAUUGGUGACUGGCAGGCUAGAGUAUGGCAGAGGGGGGUAGAAUUCCACGUGUAGCAGUGAAAUGCGUAGAGAUGUGGAGGAAUACCGAUGGCGAAGGCAGCCCCCUGGGCCAAUACUGACGCUCAUGCACGAAAGCGUGGGGAGCAAACAGGAUUAGAUACCCUGGUAGUCCACGCCCUAAACGAUGUCAACUAGUUGUUGGGGGUUCAUUUCCUUAGUAACGUAGCUAACGCGUGAAGUUGACCGCCUGGGGAGUACGGUCGCAAGAUUAAAACUUAAAGGAAUUGACGGGGUCAUAGCUGUUUCCU
rnacentral:rRNA from 1 species